GAACACGUUGUCUCUUCUCUGGGGCUGCAUUUAUUCAUAAAAAAAAAUUGAGAAAUAAUUAAUUCCAAAAUGUAUCUAAUCUAUGAAUUUCAUUAAUUAUUGUCGAUUAAUCAUCUCAUAUAUAAACCCUAAAUUUUGCAAAAAAUUUUAAUUGUAUAAGUUUUUCCUGAAUUUAUUAUAUUUUAAUAAAGUUUUGCUCAUAAAAAAUUACUAGUAUUAAAUUAAUUAAACAUUGACUUAAUUACAAGUUUUCCGCAUUAGUAAUCAUCUUGAGCAUGACAUAUUAAUUGUAAGAUGCAUGGGGUUGAUCUAAUGUAGACCUCACUGAUUAUGAACCCUAGCUACAUUGACUAUAGGAAAAAUACAUCAUUAAAGUAAGCCCUACAUCAUUUGUAACAUUCCUUCUAUUCACCUGUCAGCUAUCUCUUCAUUUAAUUUAUUUUCCUAUUGAAAUAAACAAUAUAUAUUUACUAAUUUAGGGUCUGACAAAUGUAAAUAAAGCGUCAAUGGUAAAUUGUAGAAAGCGUAACAUUUACUCUGAAAAUUAUUAAAGUAUUUGACUAACUACGUGUUAGUACGAAUGUGAUUAAUUUAUACUUGAUUAAGAAUGAUAUUUAAGUAAAAUCUUUCAACAAAAAUAACUUAAGAAUUCGAACUCUUGACAUUACAGAUAAAAUUCUUCUAAAAUUAGUUUCACAUUACUAAUCCAAUCAUUUAUUGAUUUAUUGAUUUUUUAAUUAUUAUAUUUUACAACAAGAGGGGAAAUAAAUUUCAACCAAACCCAGGCAAAAAUAAUUAAGUUCUUAAUUUCAACUUCUUUUGUAUAUCCAAUAAUCCACAAUACGUCUAUCUAAAAGUCAGAAAUUCAAACUCUAAACUCUAUUUCCCUUUAAAUGACUUUAAUGCAUAAAAAAAGAAAGUGAAAGUUAUAUGAGUGACCAUAUGUUCUAGGGAAGUGUUUUCCAUUUAAUAACAAGUUUUGUUUGUCCUGCUAUGUAGGGCACUGUUAUUAAAAAUAAAUAGUCAGUUACAUUUGCUAUGUAAGGUCAACAUCUUGGAAGGGCUAUACAUGAAAGAAGAGUAAAGGCUAGAGUUUUCAUGACUAUCACACACUGAGUGGUAACAAUUCUUUUACAUGGAGAAAUGACCUUUAAAGAUUAUUUACUACUCCUGUCAGUUUUUAUGGAGCCACGUCCUCAAAAAUUCUAUGUCCACCCAUCACCCAUAUGUAUAUAUAGCUUAUGCCUAAGCCUAACUAGUUGGCUGGCUAGAUAUAUAAGUGCAUGUAGCCUCAAGAAUCAUUUAUGCAUAUUAGCAUAAAUAUAGGGGGUAAUCCUUUGUCUAGGACGCCAUAUAUAUGGUACAUUAAUAUAUAUGUGUGAGAAAGAAAUUGAGAGAGAGAGAGAAAGAGAG
rnacentral:misc_RNA from 1 species